UGCAAUGUCCACAUCAUCUCAAAUAUACUUUCAACAAUUUGCUUUAAAAAAGAUCAGCUGACAGUUGUUACACUGAAGCAAAACGGUAUUAAAUUUAGUGUUGAAGAAUCUAAGAGUGUACAAGGAAAUGCAUUUCUGAAUCGCGAGAUUUGGCAGGAAUACCAUUAUAGCUCUAUCGAAGAAGCAACAUUUACAAUUAAUCUGACGAUUUUCCUAGAAUGUCUAAACAUAUACGGUUCUUCCUCUCAGCAACAAGGUAUUUCACCGGCCGUUCAAAUAGCUUAUCGAGGGUAUGGAACUCCUCUUUUGGUUAUGCUAGAAGCCAAUGAUGUACUGACAGAUUGCUCAAUCCGCACUUUGGAAGCAGAAUCUAUGACUGCAUUCAACCUUAAAAACGCUGGAAUUUUGUGCAAACUCAUCGUAAAUAGUGAAAAUCUUCGUGAUGCCAUUAUUGAGUUAGACUGGAACAAUGACAGCUGUACAUGGCUGGUCUCUAAUGAGCACCCUUAUUUUAGGCUGAGUACGGAUGGCACCUGUGCAAGUUGUCAGAUUGACUAUCUAAGAGAAAGUGAAGCGUUUGAAGAGUUUAGUUGUACAAGACUAUGUGAAUUUAGAUACAAAAUGAAACUGUUACAGCCAAUUUUCAAGGCACUGUUUGUGGCACAAAAAUCACAAAUAAGAAUUAAUGAAGAGGGACUGUUGGCAAUGGAACAUAAAAUACAAAACGAAGAUGGGACGUCAAGCUUUGUUGGAUUUUAUUUAGUACCUUUGGAAUUAGAAGAUAUUUAAAAAAAACGGUUGAUGGAUAUAAACAAAAAUUAGAACUAAUAUUAAAACAAGAGUAAGUUAUGCAGUUAGUUUAAAACUUCAAAAUGUUUAUUUUUUUGACGCCUAGGGAUUGUAAAGUGUAAAGACAGAUUGUCUAUCAACACCUUGCCCUUUUCGAUUUCCUGAUUUG